rnacentral:rRNA from 1 species
GCUCCAAUAGCGUAUAUUUAAGUUGUUGCAGUUAAAAAGCUCGUAGUUGGAUUUCGGAUGGGAUUUGCCGGUCCGUCUUUGAGAUGUGUACUGGUAAGUCCUAUCUUGUUGUCGGGGACUAGCUCCUGGGCUUCACUGUCCGGGACUAGGAGCCGACGAAGUUACUUUGAGUAAAUUAGAGUGUUCAAAGCAAGCCUACG